GGGGAUUUUUCCAGCUCCAUGGAGUUUGAAAGAGUUACAGGAAGUUCCAGGUGGUUUCAUGUGGUUUUCGCGACGUACCAGGAGUGUUCUAUGGGGUUUCAGGGGCGUUCCUUGAAGCGCCUCUGGAACCCCCUCUGGUCUCCUUUAAAAGCUACUAGACAUUUGAAUAUAUAUUUUUUUGAAUUGGAAAUUUAGAUAUGGCAUUUGAUUCAACAUUUGAAUCGGAAAAUUUAAUCCCGAGCAGAGGAGAAUAUCAAAUUGAUAACAAAAGAAUCACAUAACCUGUUUUUAUAUCAUAAUUUGUUAUUGUUAACUUAUCAAAAUAUAUCUUUUUAAUAACAUGUUUUGUUGGGCAAUCUUAUUUUGUUAUGUUCAAGUUAUUGGGAUAUAUCCACAAGAAAACAUCUAAAUAAUAUAUUUUAUUGUAGAACAAGUUUAGUUAUUAUUCUACUAUAGAGAAUGUACAAAUAUGUGAUGAACAAUAACACAACAGUAACAAGUUCACAAAUUACCUGUUAUUAAGUUGUGAUUGGUGUAACAAAACAUGUUAUUGAGUUAGUCUUCCAGGAACAUUUUUUUGAUAUGAUAUUUGUUAUUUUGCCGCUUAUGACAGACAAGUUUAUAACCUAAUAUGUUAUGCUAAUAACAUAAAAAAUACUGGUUCUAUUAUACAGUUAUUAUGUCAAAACAACAUAUUUUAUUAUGCUUUUGAUAUUUUCUUCUGUUCGGGAUCCGCCAAAAAAGGGUGAUCUUUUAAAUUGGAUUAGGAUUCCAAAUUUUGCCACUAUUCGUCAUUCCCAAAGAACAAUCUCCGCUUCUAACGCUAGAAGCCAUAAAACACCGUAUCGACAUGUUAAUGAAUUUCAAUGAUUUUGGCCACAUGUAUGACAUUUCCGCAACGAACCUUUAACGGGCAAUUUAGCUGCAGCAUAAAAAAUCUAAACACAAAAACCUCCAAUCAGCAAAAGGUUAUGCUGAUCAGGCAACAAAACCAAACCAGCCUCCCCAACAACCCUGGAUCCGAUCGGUGCGGCGCGUGGUGCUGCCUGCUGUUCAUUGUGGCAAAGUAUCUCAAUUUGCAGCUAUUUACCACCAAACCUCACCACGGGUCCUUUCCAUCCGCGUGUGGCGUGAAAUCGUCGUCGUCAUCGCGGUCCCGUAGAGGUCCUCGCCACCGCACGAAAGUAGAGCAGCAGAACGAUCCGACGCGAGUACCCCGGAGGAGUACUAAGCGGAGCGCAAAGCAUAAUUUAGUAAUAACUGCCUUUUUGUUUGAAACCAUGUAAUAAAAUAAUUAAUCCGUAAUUAUGGUUGUACCUGUCCGCUGGUUUUUGCUACCCCCACGUAUACGUUCAGUCAUUCAGUUCUGCUCGAUUCAAUCCCGGCCGCGAAACUGAAUCGGAUCGAAUCACUGUUCGCACUGUGGGUGCGGUGAAGGUAAAAAUAUCUUAGAAAUUUCGGAUGAUGAAAUAUACUUGUAGUCUACCUUAUUCUGAUCUUCAACCUUCAGCUUCUAGGGCCUCCAAUCGAGGAAGUUCUAAGAUGAUCUUGAUCUUGAUCUCAAAAUUGUGUUUUGAAUCCUAAACAUCACAGAGUUCGUCAACAACCUAUGUGGCCGUGUUCAGUUUCUUUUUAAAUUUCCAGGGAUAGGUGCCACAAACAAAAGCACCUGAACAAUACAUCUUUGGUUUGGCUUGUAAACCUCAAGGUCCAAUUUCAGAAACUUUUAGGUUGAAAUGUAUGGACCAUACAUUUGCGGGAGAUUAAUUAUGAUUAAAAUAUCUACAAAUACAACACAUCAUAAUAACACUACUAUACAUUUUAAAGUGAACAAUAAAUUAUAUUGUUACUGUAUGGUAAUUCAAUAUACAAAACAUUAUGUUUUAUAGAAAUACAAACAAUAUCAAUACAAUAAAAUGUGUUUAAGAUUUGUACGAGUUAAAUUGCAUAUUUUAAUUGUAAAAUUAUAAUUUACGAUACAUCGUAUGGUGCUUUACCAUAAGUAAUAUGAUUGUUUUAUGGUAUGUGUAUAGUAGUCACAAAAAGCUGUACAUAUUGUAAAGUUACAAUAUUUUUGGACAGAAUAAAAGUUGUUUUAAGCAGUUAAAACCAAUCAUGGCCCUAAAGUUUUGGCCACCUAUUCAUACCAAAUCCACCCAAUGUGCAUUCGAUGAUGACGACUAAUCGCAACUCAAGUGGAUAGGUUGGCGUUUCUCAUUGUUGCUGCUGGUGAUGGUGGUGUGGUGAACAACAUGCGCCUUUAGAAGUAUUGUUGUUUAGAUCGUACCCAGGCACAUCCAACAAACCCUAUAUGCUCUCGAUCGAAUCCGUCGUCGUCGUCGUCGUCCGGACUGCCAAUGAGGAGCUCGUGCACUGAGGGGAUUCGUGGGACAAUCUCCACGUGAAGUGGCGGAGAACAGAGUCACCGCCGAUCGAGUGUGGUGUUGUGCACUCGAGAACGGUAACGUUCAGCUCUCUUGACCCUGAUCUUUAAGAAGUACUGGCGUACGACGAAGCAAGAAGGAGGAGGAACCGUGUAGGUCUCCUCCAUACCUAUAGGGCAAAAAGUGCUUCUCUAAUAACUGAACACCACACGUUACACUUCUAUUUGUUUUCGUUUUUUUUUUUGCACGUCAUGGCUGCUUGCUAGAGUGAUGAUGACGACGAACGGAUGAUGGUUACCCCCGGUUGAAGAAUGGGGAUGAUUCAUCGAUGGUCUGCGGUGUAUCACGACGACCGACGAUGGCAGUAUGUGGUAUAGUCUAGGUCUAGGGUCAGAGGAUCGUCUCCAUUGGAACGCUGCUCGAGUGAAUGGAUCAUUAGAAGUGGUAGCUAUCGUCGUCGUAGAAUCAAGUCUUUCCUUGACAAGAACUAAUCCCUGCAUCCGGUUGGUUGUAGCCUUCAGAGUCUGGCUUGAUUACUUAAUGGUGAACUUUCCGUGGAUCCUGGAAUUGUUAAAACACUUCGUAUUUGGCGUUUAAAAUUGGAGCAGAAGUAUCACAACAAGACGAUUUAGAGUUUAUUAGGCGCUGCCCGUAAACUAUGGACUCUUUUUCGGUCAUAACAGACCCUCUCCUCGAAGACAGAAUUUUUAUAAUUUUCUAUGUAAGAGUAGAAUUUGGAGAGACAUCUUCUCCCCCCUCAUAGUCUACAUAGUUAAGGACUAGCCUAAACAACAACGAGUUUAAAUUAUCAGAAUCCAAUAUAUUUUCGUUCCGAUGUGUGUUCCGAAGUUUCGAUCUACCACUAUGAAUGUUUGGCUCAUUGUUACAUUUUGUCAAUCUGGUUUUAAUUCAUGACCAAGAGUCAAUUCGCGUAUUUGUUUGCAUGGGAUAAACCAUUUAUGUUCCUAAGAUCUGUUGACAUCUAUGGAUAUAUCUGAUAACUGAUAACUGCGGGCACAUAAAGGGGAUUUCGUUUCGAUAUCUAGUAACAACUUUCACCGUACUAGCACAUCUACCUUUCUGUUGUUGUAAGGACGCGGCCGGUACUGUUUUGACCCGCUCGGUCCAGGAUCUCUGGAGCCAUUCAUAAACAAAGUAGACCAAAUUUUUGUCCGAAGACUUUGGUCAGAGCAACCAGUCAAGCACCUACAGAUGAUAGACAAAAUGAUCGGGACGACAGGCAAAAUUUUCACUUUUCAAAAAACGGUCAAAUAGCUGUAUCUAAAACAAAUUACUGUAAGUUGAUCAACUAGUUGUGAAUCAAUGGUCCAAUUUUGGGUGAGAUCGGGCUAGUCUACAUGAAGUUAGAAAGAUUGUAGAAAAAGUCAUAAUUGUUCGAUAGCCAAAUUUGAACUUUUAUAUCUCCGGAUUCAAUAACCAAAUGCAAUGAAUUUUUUAAGCGUUCAUUACAUAUAUCGUUAGCUUUGAAAAACUUUUGAGAUAACUUAAAUUGUUCAAACAGAAGAAAAUUAUAGCUUUUAGAUUAUUUUUCUGAUACAUAAAUGACCCGAUUAUGUCAGCCCCUUUUCGGAAUAAUUUUUUGCUCUCUUCAAAAACCGAAACAAUUUUCAAACUUUUUAUCCCUCUAUGGUCUGCAUUUCAGCUGUAGGUUGAUGAUGAAUAUAAAUAAAUUAAGUAAAAUUUAACUGUAAGAUAAUAAGAGCAGAAAGUUUGUCGCAUAAUGGGGCUCACAAAAUCGGGUCCUUACUGUAUAUCAUCAAAUUAUAGAAAUUUCAAAAUUCAAGAUGGUAAUUAUAGUUUAUUUGAAUUCCCCCAAAUUGACUUCAAUAUGUAUAUGUUUUGAAACGAAGUAACAAAAAACCCGGCAAUAAAUUGCAAAAGCAAUGGCAAGCUUAUUAAUUAGACCAAUAUACUAAAAAAUCAUAAAAUAUAUAAAAUCGCUGUAACUUUUUUUUCUUAUUAAUAAUUUUAAGUUUAGUCAAACUUUUUACAAAGCUUAUUAUGAGUCAUGAACGGUCAAAAUGUUAUUGCAUUCGGUUUAUUGAAUCCGGAGAUAUAACAGUUCAAAUUUGGCUAUCCGAUAAUUGUAUUUUUCUAAAAUCUUUCUAACUUCAUAUAGAAUAGCCCGAUCUUUCCCAAAUUUGGACCACUGAUACACAACCAGUUGAUGAACCCACAGUAGAUUUUUUGAUGCACUUUUCGAAAAGUUACAGCAAUUCGGCCAUUUUUUGAAAAGUGAAAAUUUUGUCUGCCCGGAUCAUUUUGUUUAUCCCCUGUAUGAACAGUCUUUCUUCUCAAUGGAAGUAUUCUUCUUGACUACCUUCGGCAUAGAUGGUACCUACCUGCCAUAAUUAUUCAGCAGGCAAGCCAAAUCCAAAAUGAAGCAGGAUAAUCACGCUAGUGGAAUUUCUCGCAAAAUUUAUCCUAUUUCCACACGAUAUUUUUUUCUUGAUUUUUCUUCAUUUUGGAUUCCUCACGGAUUUUCUUUCGUCUCUCAGCAUAGGGGUAGCUUUUUGAAUAUCCUCAAGACUAUUGCUGCAGGAGUUUCCAGGAGUUGCUCUCGGAAUUCUUUGCGGGAUUUUCUCCGCAGACCCUGUCGGGAUUUAUCCAAGAGGUUUCCCAGGAUUCCAAUGCCUGUUCCGCGAUAUCUUUCAGAGAUUUUCGAAUAUUUUUUCCCGGGAUUAUUUCAGAAGUUUCUCUUGGAAAUUUUCGCGGAUAUCAUCCGAAGUUAUUUGCGGAUCUGUCUAGGAGUUUGUUUUUGGGUUUGCCACAGGUGCUCUCAAUACUUUCUACAUGAGAUUCUCCUGCAAUAUUUCCAAGAAAUUCCAGUAGAAAUCCGAAUAAGAAUUCCAGAAGAAAAUACGGGAGGAGUUCCGGAACGUUUUCCAGAAGAAACUUUCUAUUCUUAAAAUACUUCAAAGAGUUGCUGCUGUAACCCCCGGAGGAAAUCUAAAGACAAUCAAUACAUUGGGCUGAAAAAAUGUGAGUCGAUAAGGAGACCCAACAUAGCCCUGGUCCUCACAAGACCCCACCUCAUGCUUCCAUGGGUCAAGCGAUGACAAAGACCAUCAGCUAAGUGUAUGCUUAGAUGGUAGUGCAGCCUAGGUAUUGCAAUACUUAUAACUUCAGCUGGAUUGAAGAGGCACGUCUUGAGCGUCUGUUCACCAAGAAGGUGCGGCUAAAACAGCGUCUGUUCUGACAUCCAGUGAGUAUGAAACCUACUGUUCCCGCAACCCAAAAACCGUUAGAAACCGAAAAUGAAUGAACGGCAACGGCAACGACUUUUAGCGCGAAACAACGGACAAGAAUUCAGCCAUUCCAUAGAAACACCAUAUAGUGAACUCCGAUUGUCGUAAAACUUGGAGGGUUUGUAAUUAAUCGAAAAAUAUUAGACCUGUAUUUUUUUUUUUUAUUAGGGUGAUCAAUUUUCAGAUAGAGUGGUCCUAAAAAUCAAGUUUUUUUUAAACUAAAAAUUUUCAAAAAUCAUAACUGUUGAACCAGUUGACCUACUUUAAACCUCUUUUUUUUGUUUGAAAGCUAUUUAAUUGUACUUUUAAGAAAAAAUAGGAUGAAGAGGCCGAAUUGUGUUUAGGUGCAAAACAUGUGUAUUUAUCACAGUUUUUUCACCUUUUCAUGGUCUCGAAACCAUAAUGGUACCCUGGUUUUAUAUUUAAUCAGAAGAUUUGGCGUAACAUAUCAAAAAAUCAAAGAUGUACAGGGGAUAGACAAAAUGAUCGAGACAGGCAAAAUUUUCACAUUUCAAAAAAAUGUUAAACGAGCUAUAACUUUUCGGGCCCAUAUAGCCGAGGCGGUAAACGCACGGGUAUUCAGCAUGACCAUGCUGAGGGUGACGGGUUCGAUUCCCAGUCGGUCCAGGAUCUUUUCGUAAAGGAAAUUUCCUUGACUUCCUUGGGCAUAGAGUGUCUUCGUGCCUGCCACACGAUAUACGCAUGCAAAAUGGUCAUUGGCAGAGGAAGCUCUCAGUUAAUAACUGUGGAAGUGCUCAUAGAACACUAAGCUGAGUAUCAGGCUUUGUCCCAAUGAGGACGUUACACCAAGAAGAGAGAGAGAGAACUUUUCGAAAAGUGCAUCGAAUUUUCUCAAAUUUUUACUGUAAGUUCAUCAACUAGUUGUGUAUCAUUAGUCCAAAUUUUGAAAAUAUUGGGGUAUUCUUCACAAAGUUCUAAAGUUUCUUGAAAAAGGUAUAAUUAUCCAAUAGCCAACUUUGAGCUGUUAUAUCUCUGGAUUUAAUUAACUGAUCUCAAUAAAAUCUUGACCAUUCAUGACUUAUAUAAUGAACUCUGAAAAACAUUCAACCCAACUUGAAAUUUUUAACAAGAGAAAAAGUUAUAGCAAUUUGAUUUAUUUCACGAUUUUUUAGCAAAUUGAUCUAUUUUUAAUAUGCAUCCCAUUACUUUCUCAAUUUAUUGGCGGCUAUGUUGUUACUUUCCUCCAAAACACAUUUAUAUAUAAAUCAUUUAGAGGGAAAUUAAAUGAACUAUAAUUUGCAUCUUGAAUUUUGGAACGCUGUUGAAGUUUUGGAUAAUUUGGUGUUUUAUUAGAAAAAUAAUCUAACUAUUAUAAUUUUCUUUCGUGUUAAGAAUUUAAGUUAUGUCAAAGGUUUUUCAUAGCUCAAUAUAUAAGUCAUUAAUGGUCAAAAUUACAUUGCAAUCGGUUCAUUGAAUACGGAGAUAUAACAGCUCAAAGUUUGGUAUUGGAUAAUUAUACCUUUUUCAAGAAUCUUUAUAACUUCGUGGAGAAUAGCCCGAUCCUUUCCAAAUUUGAACCACUCAUACACAAAUAGCUGAUGAACUUACAGUAAUAUUCGAUGCACUUUUCGAAAAGUUACAGCUAUUUGAACAUUUUUUGAAGAGUGAAAAUUUUGCCUGUCCUGAUCAUUUUGUCUAUCCCCUAUAUGUUUUUUAGUUUUUGAGAUAUGCGUUUUCUAAAAUAAAAGGCCAAAUUUGCCCAUACAAAACAUUUUUUUUUAAUUUUAUUUUAUUUUGAAUCUUUAUAAACCAUAUUAUAGAUACAACAAAAAUGGAAAAUUGCUAAAAUUAUGCUAUUUGAACAGCGAAAAUUUUGAAAAGUCGUAACUAUUUUGUGUAUUAUUUUACCAUCACAACAUUUUUUUGGUAGAUAGCUAAUAUAAUGGACAAUUUUCCCUAAAAAUUACGUUCGUAAAAAGAUGUGGAUUAAGGUAUAUGAGUUUUUGUGACAAAAAUUAUAUUUUGAAUGCAAAAAAAAAUUGGAUCCGUUUUCGCUGUGCAACUUUUUGAACAUUUUUGAUCCAUUUUCACACACACCCUUUUGAAAAGUUAGUCGUGACUUAACAUGAAGUAUUGGUAUCGAAAAAUGACGAUUUAGAUUAAAUUGAAAAAUUGUGCAGUUUCAGAUAUUUUUAAAGGGGUCGCACAGGAUGCCUUCGUGGAAUCCCUCUAUCGGCCUAAUCUGUUUUAAAUAUAACCCCCAAAAUUAUUCAUUCACAAGAGUGACCAAACUCUAGUCUCGCCAAAUGCUCCCGUUGCCAAAAGCCAACAUCCACAUCCGAGUCGGAGAAGUCAAUGCUCCUCUAGCCCCAUCCAUCGGAUUGGUUUGGCAUGCAUGAGAGGCACAAAACAGAUAUUUACCACUCGGUUUGCAAACUGCUUAGAAGUCGUUUUUACAAAACUUCAAACAAUCCCCGAAUCCGGUAGGCCGACCGGGCGGUGGGCACCAUCAAGCUCUCAUCAUCCUGGGGGAAAAAUUCCACCCCCCGUUUGGAGGGUGGUGCAUCCUUUAUGCAUUCUAUUCAUAUGUCGUCGUCAUUUCACUUUCGAUCUAUGUUAAUCAUUGCACACAACGAGAAGAACGAUGUCGAACGAACUGUUGGAAGUUGGCGCAAAUGAUGGCAUCGUCAUCGUAAUAUGUGUAUGUUUCCAAAAUUUUGAAUAAUGAACAACAUAUGUGCAAGUGCAACGAUGGAACCGAAGGGGUUAGGGUUUGGUGUCACUGACCGCUGCAAUCCCUAGCUCUUGGUGGUGUGAAAUCCAGCAACCACGGAAAUUCAUUCAUGUCGACAUCCAUAGGGUGUAACUAGCAUUUCUAAAGUUGUAUUUAAAUAAUAAGAGAUUAUUCAUAAACUGAUAGUUGGAGAAAUAAUCAUUUUCACCGUACUUCAAUAUUCAGCAGCUUCGAAAUUUCUUAUUUGUUUGCAAAAGUAUGAUAAAUCAUGAAAUUAAUUCGAAAAUGGAAAGCUUAUUCAGCCAACGUUUAGUUUUAUUAACAAAACAAUAAACAUUCAAAAAUGUGACAUUUUUUGAAAAUGUCACCAAGAAAAAUAUUAAAACAAUCAUAUUUGUUUAAACUUUUAAAGGAAUUUCACAAAAUACGCCGCACCCUAUUCUUCAACCAUGUGCUCUUUGGUCUAGCGGUUAGUUCAGAGUUGUGUUCGAGAAUAUUGAUUUGCGGAAAUUGCGAAUUUCUGGCAAAUUUCUCCUUUUUGACUAAUGAUAAUUUUUGCUUCGAGACAGAUUAAAUUGUCGAAAUUCAUAGAAAAAAAAGCUAAAAGCAAACCCGAUUGAACCGAUUCUAAUUCCUCUGUUCUGGGAGUUGAUUGCCUUCACGCACAUGUACGUGCGACGAAUGUCGCAUGUACUUGGUUGUUUCCCGUAAUCCAUGUGCGUAGAUUUAUUCGUGGCAUUGAAUUGAUCACUUAGAGCAGGGCGUAGCGGCGUAAGAAUAGAAUUACACCACUAGGCAAGUGAGGUAGUAAACAGGCUCCAACGAUUGCGAGGGAGCAAUAUCCAGAUCAAGCUUGCCAGUGGUAUAGGUAUGCAUGUAGGUUGUCAGAAGCAGACAUACGUAGCAUAUGAGGCCACCGACCGCAGAGAUGAAAACAAACUGUUUCUCAAGUUAUCCGUGAGGUGAGGCUAAAGGUGGGUUUGAAGUUGUUUUGAUUGUUAGAUAACCAGGUUGAUGCGUGAGUGUGGUUGUGGAGCAACUGUGAUGAAUAAUAACAACUAGGACCAGAUAAGUCAUGGGUGUUCUGUUAUGUCUAUACAUGACUAGACUGCCCACAGAAUUGGUGCAAAGUAGCUUGUUUACAAUUUUUCGAACAACGGUUAAGGUGAGGUCAAUGUACUGAACUGUAUAUUGAAGAAAAUCAAUGGUCGGACAUGUGUCUGAAUUAAUCACAACAUGUAGUCACAAUAUGUUUUAUUGUGAACUGCUAAAACAGCUCAAUGUUCCUUUUCUUCAAAAAUUCCUUUAAGAAUUUACCUAGCACUUUUAGCAGAUUGACUAUCGGAUUUGAUCGCGAUAUUAUAUUAAUAUAUACAUUUGAUCUACUGAUUUUUAAGUUUCUACAAUACUUAGUGAUGUUGGGUCAUUAAGCCAAAAAUUAUUACGUCAAGUAUUAUUAAGCCGUCAAUUAUUUUGCAAAAAAUAGAGAUGUAAAAAGUUUGUUAUUGAAAAAAUAGCAUUUAAGCUGAAAAAUUUAAAAUGCGUAUUUCAAGGCUAAGUGGUUCCUCAAGGAAAAGUUCUCAAAAAUCUUACAAAAUUUUUCAGAAAUUGAUACAAAAAUAUGUCUAGAUAUAGGGUGCGGGCACCGGUUUUGACCAGUCUAAGGGAAAUCAUUUUUAUAAAAAUAACCAAUAUUCCAAUGAAAACUACCAAUGUGUCAAAUGAAAGGUUUCGAUCUAUACUUUAUUAGAAAAAUGCACAAAUCAAGCUAAUACUUGAUUUUUGUAUUAAAAGUGGCACUGGCCAAAAUAGAAGCAUUGCCGCAGUUUUGGCCAUAUUCUCAGCUUUGGUUUCUAUUUUGACCAAUCACGUGUAUUUCUUAUGGGAGUGGCCAAAUUAGAAGCACCCUGGCCAAAAUAGAUAUAUGGGAGCUGAUUUUUUAAGAAAAAAUAGUUUUUUCUUCCAGUUUUUAAUCAAAAUGUAUGGUUUUCACAGCUGUAAUGAACAUAUUAUAUUAGAAUCUACUAGUAAAAAAUAAAUGUAUGCCGAUUUAGAUCGUAACAGGCUGAAUACCGCACUAUGGCAAAACUCCGGGCUGGCCAAAAUUGAAGCUUCUACCCUAGUUUUCCAAAUAUCUCAAGGAAGUUCCUCUCACGGAUUGCUUUUGAAAAUUCCUCCAGAAAUUCCUUAAAAAAUUUCACUGAAGAUUCAUCCAAAAGAUUUACAAGAAAAAUCUUUCGGAAAAUCUUACAUAGGUUGUUUUAAAAAUGUCCUCAUUGUUUUUUUAGUUUUUUUUUCUAGAAAUUGAUUUAUAAAUUCGUCUGAUGAUUCCAUCAGAAAAUCUUUCAGGGAUUCGAUAAAAAAAUAUUUCGAGAAUUCUUCAAAACAAAUUUCCUUCAAAACUCCUUUACGGAUUUUUUUUAUUUUUUUCCAGAAUUCCAUCAGAUAUCAAAUGGAAAUUCUUUUCUUAGGAUUUAGAAACUACUCCACGGAUUCCUUUAGAAAAUCUAUCAGAGAUUCCUUCAGAAAUCCUUCCGCGGAUUCUACAGAAAAUCUUCCAAAACUCCUUCAGAAAUUCCUUCCCGGAUUAUUUACAAAAAAAAACCUUGCAAUGAUUGAUUUGGAACUUUCUUGUCAGAGUUUGCUUUACAAAUACUCCUUCAUGAAAUUCUUCUUGAAAAUUAUCCGGAUAUAACACAUCUAGACUACAUAGAACUUUGUUUCUGGAAUUUCUACAAAGAUUUUUUAAAGAUAUUUCCUUUACGGUUUUCUUCGCCCAAAAAUUUAAAAAUAAUCUUUUGGAAAAGCUUACAUAGGAAAUUUAUUCAGAAUUGCUCUUAUGAUUCCUUCAGAAAAUCCUUUAGAAUUUAGUUGUAACGACAAGGAUGUAACAUUAGUUAGAGAUUCCUUCAGAAAUCCUUCCACGGAUUCUACAGAAAUCUGCCAAAAAUUCCUACGAAAAUCCCUUCGCUCCUUCCUCCUCUCCUUGGCGUAACGCCCCAACUGGGACAAGUCCUGCCUAUCAGCUUAAUGUCCUAUGAGCACUUAUAAACUGGGAGCUUCUCUGCCAAUGAGCAAUUUGCAUGUGUACAUCAUGUAACAGGCACGAAGACACUCGAUAUCCGAAGAAAUCAAGGAAAUUUCCUAUACGAAAAAUUCCUGGACCGACCGGGAAUCGAACCCGUCACCGCAGCUGAAUACUCAAGCGCUUACGGCAUCGGAUAUAUGGGCCCAAAAAUCCUUCGCGGAUUAUAAAAAAAAAUCUUCAAGGAUUGAUUUUGAAAUUUCUUGUUAGUUUCUUUUAAAAAUCCCUUCAGGGAUUAUAUCAGAAAUUCUAUCACAAAUUUUUCCGGCGGUUUCUUCACAUGAAUUCACGGAUUCUUCCAACAAAUCUUUCAAGGAUUCAUUCAUUCAGUGUUUGCUUAAGAAAUUGUUUCAAAAGUUCUUCCAGAAAUUCCACUAGCGAUCUCUCCAGAAAUAGGAUAUAUUUUUUUAGCAAAUCUUGGAUGGACUGCUUGAAAUAUACCUCAGUGACUUUUUCAAAAAUUUCAAAAAUUCAGAAAUUUCUGUACAUAUUUAUUUAUUAAAUUCUAUAGGAUUUUUUUAAAUUCCUAAAAAUCUUCCUUCAGAACGAGAACAACGGGGGUUUUAAAAAAUCUUCAGAUUUUUUCCAAAGAUCGUUUUGGUUAUUUCCCUCAGGAUUUUUUACGGAUUCUUCCGAAAUAAUCCGCCAACCCGAUCAGAAAGGCAUAACAAAAACAUAACAUAAUUAUAUCAACGGUUGAUAUCUAUAUCAAGGUUUGUUAUAUUUAGAUAUAUUUGCUGGAAUCGGUACGAAAACUAGUUGGUAUUAUUUCAAGGUUCUAACAAAGUCAGUUACAAUAAAAAUAAAUAUGUGAUUUGAUCAUCAUUACAUCAACAUUAUAACAAACUCAGUAAUAAUUUUUAAAAUGCAAUGUGUAACUAAUCAAUAUUUUUUGGUAAUGUUUAGUGCGAAAAUUAACCGCUGUAUGGCGCCAUUGUGUUUAGAAAAUACACAAUUGUUGAUAUCUUUUAUUAUAUGAACUACCAAAAAAGCUCAUGUCUUCAUCAAAUUUGUACAAUUUGUAAAGCUUAUGACUUUGGAAGGGGGAAAAUGAGGUAAGCAACUUCACCAUUACGUGAUGAUAUUAGGUAAUUUUAAAUGUUUCUUAUCAUGACCCAGAUCACCUGCACAGUUCGUAAGUUCAGCAAAGUUGUUCAUGAUUUUUGAAAUUCUCGAAUGGUGUAAAAUUGUAUGCACAAUAUCACUGCUACGAGCUAUUUGAUAUGUUAAAUCUUAUUAUUCUGCUGUCCUAGGAAGUUCGGAUCAUCACUCAUCAGCGAAGUUGUCGAGAAGUCCUUGGCUCUCAAGUGGAAAAUGUUAUAUGAUAUGUAAUUGAACUGCGGCGUUUACAUUUGUUUACAGGAUUUUGUACAUGUCUUACAGGUUGAAUGUUUAUUAUGGAUGGCUACGGAGAACUUUCAGGGAAUAUUUCUAGAGAUAUUAAAAGUAUUUCUCUUGUAGGUCUUCUAGGGAGCUCCCUAGAGUUUUCUCAACGAUUCCUACGUGAAUUCUUACUGACGAUUGUGCAGUCAAAUAUUCAAAUAUUUCUCCAAAAGUUCUUAAAUAGAUUUCCCCUAGAGUUCCUCUAGAAAUUGUGGUUGGAGAAUUCUUCAGCUACUUCUCCAAGGAUUUGCGUUGCGUUGCGUUGCGUGGUAACGGAGUAAUUCGUAGAUUGCAUACUGAAAGUUGUCAUGUUAAAACUUUAAUACUUCUAUUCUAAUUGCUUCUGGAAUGCUGUUUGGGAAGGAACAGCUAUCCAAUCAGAGGUUGAAGUAAAAAAUACAUGAAAACUUCCAUUGCCGGCCACGCCCAUCUUCUCCGUUACGAGGAUAGGAAAGGAUGUGAUGAUAUGACACCUACUUAAGGUGAGGUCAGCGACUCACCGACGCCCCCAUAGGUGUCAAGGAGUUGGAUAUUUGGAAUGGGUUAAUUUUGGGAUUCACUAUAAGCGAGUGAAGCGACAAUAUUCAGAUUGUGUUAGUGUAUUUGAGUAGAUCAUGUAGAUGUGUGAGUGUGAGGGUAAGUGUUUUAGUAUAACACCAACGUUGGGAGUGACGUAGCUAAAAGAAUUUGUCACUCCAUGGGCCUUUUUGCUUCCGGGGAUGGGGCACAGGCAUUUUCACUGUGUCCUGGCUAUAACAAGCCUAGGCUUAAGCGCCAUUGAUCGCUCUCUGAAACGAAAAGAAACACAAUUGAUGCCUGACUGUGGAAAGGGUUAGUUAGGAUGGAAGGACAUCUAUUUAACGAGAGGCCAGCGACUCACCGACGCCCUCGUAAAUAGCAGGGAGUUGGAUUUUUGGUAAGGGAAUGGUCAAGGAUUCACUAUACUUAAAUAAUGCGACUAUUAUUGUUGGGUUUGGUGGUUCCAAAGAAAUUGUCAUGAUUAAUUGAUCAAACCAGAACGAACUCACCAAAUUUCUUGUUUGAUAUGAUGUCUCCCUUGGCGGAUGACUGAGAAGUGCGACACAUUGUGCUAGUCCGAUUCCUCCAGCUUGGUACGCUUGCGCUUGGGGGCGGCAUGCUGCGGUUUAUUACGCAGCGCACUCGUUCGGGCCGCACAGAUGCUACUCGAGGAUGUCUGAAAAAUGAUGGUCUGGCUUCCGGGGUGGUGUUCCUACAGACUUCCUCGGACGACUGCAGCUUGUUUAACGAGAUCUUGAUCAGAUCCUGAUAUUCCUGGAGCUGCUGGGAGACCCGAUGUCGGAGGCGCUCGAUAUCAUCCAGGUUUACCUCCGUUGACGGUUAUUGUCGACAAACUGGAAAUUUUCGACUAGAGAAACACCGUUUGGCUUCGUCGUGUAGCUCCUUGUUCACAUUCCGAUGGGCAGUCCUUUUCACAACAACCCGUAGAUUUCACUUUCGGCUACGGUUAAAUAACUCCCACUGUUACGGAUUGCGUCCGAUAGGCCCUUUGGAACGGAUCUACACUGAAGCGGCGCGUACGAUAGACGACGCGCUGCGGUAAAAUGUCAUCGUUGACACGUCGUUGGCAGAUGACUCAAGGAUGACAUCAGCGAAAUAGAAGAUAAUGAUAAACAACCUUGUGCAAGCGAAGAGCUAAUGGUUAAGCUAAAUUAAUUAAAAUCUAAAUAUUUCGUUCUACCUCUUUUGAAAACGUAGUAAUGCAUUUGUUAUUCUAAGCUUAUGAGACUAAAAGGUUUGUAGUGUUCAAAGUUCGUGUAAUUAAUUGAAUUUCAUGCAAAUAACACUACAACAAAACAUGCCCACAUGUAUGUUAAUCAGUUCUUAAAAUUACAGCCUAAAAUCAGUAUUAUAACUACAAACUAUCUAAAUUCCUUAAUUGUAACCUAAUUAGUACGGAUAUGUAAGUACGGAAUGCUAUACUCUUAUGCAAUAUCUAAUUGAAAUCUUAAUCUAAUAGCUUACGUAACCUUCAUAAACGGCAGCAGGAAUUCUUAUUGGAUUUUCAUAUAGUGAGGAAACUAAUUUGUAAGUAGCUUAAAUUUAUCAAUGAAUUCGCUUUGUUUAAUAAACUAUCUUUCCAGUCGAGUUUUGCGGAAAAUCCCGAACUGCGAAACAGUUUUUAUUACACUCGAAAAUUAUCCAAGAAGAUUCCGCGCAGUUAUGAGCAGUUCAGGUAAGCAUCCUACCGGUUGCUGUAAGGCGUGUAACCGCCCGAACAACGCCGAAGUUAUGAUCGCUUGUGACAUUUGUGGAAGCCGUUUCCACCACACUUGUGCGGGAGUGCAAUCGUCGACGUUGCUCAAGCCUUGGAGUUGUGGCUAUUGCUCUAGCCGAGGCGACGGCACCAGCAGUUCAGCGAUAUCCGUCAGCUCUUCUAGUUCUAGUGCCCGAUUACGUUUGAGGCAACUGGAAGAGUCGAAAGCACUCGACGACCGCCUUCUACUCCAGCAGGCUGAGCGAGAACGAGCUUUUCUAGCUGAAAAACACCAACUAGAGUCGGAAAUCCAGGCAGAAAGACAGUUGAGGGGAAGUACAUCAAGCUUUAGGAGCAGGCACAGUCGUCAUAGCUACAAGAGUGAGAUUCGAACGUGGAUCAACCAGUCAACAGACACUCCAGGGAAGGCUGAGGGCCAACAAGCCGGUGCGUCAACAUCAACCCCGCUUGCAUCCACAGAAAACGUAGCGUUAGCGGUACCGGUCCAGCAAGUUGUCCCGCCAAGUCAAUCGACCAUUCUCCCGGAUCAUUCGACGGCAGUUCAAGAGAUUGCCAGUCACCGUUCACUCUCCGAAGCAAACAUCAUCCAAGCCCCGGGCAUUCAUCCUCCGAACGCCCAAGGUCAAGCAAGCAUUGUGGCUGUAGUUUCGGUAGCUGGCUGCGAUCCGUUAGGAACAGCAACAUUGACCAAUGCUGUUACCACCCCUCCGUUCGCGCAGUUGAUCUCAGCUCCGAAUCACGACGUCUUCCAGCAAGACCAGCAGAAACCAUCUCCACCAUAUCCGAUCAGACGACAGCAUCCACCGACGAAUCAGUCAGGUCCAAAGGAACCAGCGUUGUCAGAUGCGGAACCAUUGGUGGGACGUCAGGUUCCUGCCCAAGCCUAUGCUGAAGGAGAAGUUCAUGCGGGAGCAAUAGGUCCGCAGCAACAGAAGGUGCCCCAGCAAGUCCAACAGCCUAAUCAACCUUUCCGCCCCAAUACCGGUUACUACGUUCCGCCAGCCAUGAACCUGAAUACUCCAGCACAUGCAGCUGUAUCGUUUCCCGUACAGUGGCCACCAAAUGCUAAUGUGGGUUUCGUGGGUAAUCGAUACCCAACUGUCAGCCAGCAUCCCGUGCCACCAGCCAGCGCGUGUUAUCCCACAAGUUUCUACCAGCCACCAUACAAUGCUGGUCAGCCCACAGGUCCAAUACCGACUUGGGGACCACUGAAUGCAGCACAUCAGCGGUCGAAUACGGUGCAGGAAGCAACAAUAAGAACCAACACGACGCAAGUUCAGCGGGAGCCUGGACAUAACACUCAGCAGUCCUUUGCAGGCCAAGCUCCGAGCUUCUACCCUGCGCCAACUGCUGAAGGAGUUUUGAGUGCACAACAUUUAGCCGCCCGUCAAGUUGUAUCCCGCGAUCUUCCCAGAUUUUCUGGUGAUCCCCUUGAGUGGCCAAUGUUCAUUAGCGCAUAUGAGUCCACGACGGCCAUGUGUGGGAUUCAGCCGGACGAGAACCUGGCCAGGCUUCAGAAAUGCUUGGUAGGAGGCGCCAGGGAGAAAGUUCUUAGCAUCCUAACGCUGCCGGCUGCGCUACCCGAGAUUAUUGAGACACUGCGGGAAGAAUGUGGACGACCAGAACAGCUGGUUCAUUGCCUCCUGGUAAAGAUUCGACACGCUCCUGCUCCGAACGUUAACAAACUCGACACGUUAAUUAACUUUGGCAGGGAGAUCAGGAAUUUGGUAACCUACAUCGAAGCUGCAAAUUUGCAGGAUCAUUUGUCGAAUCCGAUGCUAUUGUCAGAACUUGUAGGGAAGUUGCCCCCAAGUCUUCGGCUAGAUUGGGGGCUUCAUACGCAGAAGGUUCCCCAAGUGACACUAAAAGCUUUUAGCGAUUACGUCACGUCAAUUAAGGCUGCUGCGUGCAAGGUUUCAUUGCCAAAUGAAAGCUGUCAGGAGGAAAGCCGUCGUGGAAAAAAGGAGAAAGGUGGUUUCGUCAAUGCACACUCCAUCGAUGAGAAGCGUGUGACCGAGUGCAGUACGAGAAACACGAAUAACACAUCGUCUUCUAAGAAGGAGUUUCUGCCUAGGUCCGAAACCUUCAAACCCAAGCCAUGCCCUGUUUGCAACCGGAACGAUCACAAGCUUCGAGAAUGUGAAAAGUUUAUCGGCUUCAAUGUGGAUCAGCGUAAGCGUCUUGUCGGUGAAAUGAAGCUGUGCCAACGUUGCUUAGGGAGCCACGGCAAAUGGCCAUGCAGAAUGAAGCAGUCAUGCGAGGUCGACGGCUGUGCAGAACCGCAUCAUAAACUUCUGCAUCCCUCGAAACCGAAAACCAGCAGCAGCGUCCAACCAGCAGGUUCAUCUGGUGUUAUUUCCGCCCACUGUUCACGGCAAGCCGGCGUACUAUUCAAGGUACUUCCCGUCAUUCUCUCUAGUAACGGGAAAUCCGUCUUGACCUUCGCUUUCCUGGAUGACGGAUCCAACCUCACGCUGAUGGAAGAGGAAAUUGCCGAUGAGCUUGGAUUGCAGGGUAACGUAAGUUCAUUAUGCAUCCAAUGGACCGGUAGCGUAACAAGGAAAGAACCGACCUCACGACAAGUUGAGCUGCGCAUUUCUGGCGUCCAUGGUGGACCGGAGUAUACCAUGUCCGAAGUCCAAACCGUGCCUCACUUGGAUCUGCCUCAACAAAGCCUGGACUAUGAGAAACUCUCCAAGGAAUUCCCACACUUAAGGGGACUUCCAGUACGAAGCUUUUCGAAUGCGGUGCCCAAGGUUCUUAUUGGACUAGAUAACGCGGCGUUGAAGCUGACACUGGACAAACGCGAGAGACGAAGCAAGGAACCAAUAGCUGCCAAAACGAGACUUGGGUGGACGAUUUUUGGAGGAGCACAAGGAGGACAACAACGGGCGGAUCGCGUCAUGCUACACGUAUGCAAUUGUAAUGAAGACGAGACUCUUCACAAUCUCGUCAACGACUACUUUUCGGUAGAAACCAUUGGUGUUAACCCUACGAUGCCUUUAGAGUCACCUGAAGAUCAGCGAGCAAGGCAGAUCUUGGCCCAAACUACUCGCCGCACUGACUCAGGAAGAUUCGAAUGCGGCCUGUUAUGGAAAAGCGACGACUUCGAACUCCCUGAUAGCUACAAAAUGGCGGAACGACGGAUGGUUUGUUUGGAGAAGAAGCUCGGAAAAGACCCAGCUCUGAAAAUGAAGGUGUUAGAGCAGAUUGACGAGUAUCUGGAUCGCGGAUACGCCCACAAGGCUACUGAGGACGAGCUACGAGAUUCCGACCAACGUCGGGUAUGGUAUCUUCCCAUUGGCAUCGUCCAGAAUCCCCGGAAACCCGGGAAAGUACGAAUUGUAUGGGACGCGGCGGCACGCAUCGGAAAUACAUCGCUCAAUUCAAUGCUGCUCACUGGACCAGACCUUUUGACUCCACUUCUGAAGGUCAUGUACGGAUUCCGGCAACGACAAUAUGCUGCAGUUGGAGACGUACGACAAAUGUUUCACCAGCUGUUGGUUAGACAGGAAGACAGGCAGGCUCAACGUUUUCUAUUCCGGACAGAUCCGGAACAAGCACCGACAAUCUACGUAAUGGACGUCGUAGUUUUCGGAACAUCGUGUUCUCCGUGUCUUGCUCAACAUGUGAAGAAUACAAACGCUGAGGAGUACAAGGAACUGUAUCCAGAUGCGGCCUCGGCAAUCAUCAACAAAACCUACGUCGACGAUUUCCUGGAUAGCAGAGACAGUAUCGAAGAGAUGGUCCGUAUAGUCAACGAGGUGCGCUGGAUUUUCGACCAGGCUGGAUUCGAGCUUCGAAACUGGCAGUCCAAUUCCGAGGACGUUCUUCGACGGGUCGGGGCCGACAUCAACGAAACUGCGAAAUCCUUCACGGUGGAAAAAUCUACGGUUGCCGAACGAGUCCUGGGAAUGAGAUGGGACCCCAAGGACGAUUUAUUCGUGUUCGAUACACAAUUUCGUGAAGAUCUUCUACCGUUGCUGACAGGAGUCAUCGUUCCUACUAAACGACAAGUUCUUCGCGUGGUUAUGAGCCAUUUUGAUCCUCUGGGCAUCGUAGCUACCUACACUGUGCACGGAAAAAUCCUUAUCCAGGACGUGUGGAGAUCUCGCGUAUCGUGGGAUGAUCCAAUAACGGCGGAAGACUUCGAAAGCUGGCAGCGCUGGGUGAAACUAGUUCCAAACCUGACGCAGGUUGAAAUUCCGCGAUGCUACUUCCCGAACUAUGACCCGGCCAGUUACGAUUCUAUUGAAAUCCACGUUUUCGUCGACGCUAGCCUGAAAGCGUACUGCGCCGCAGCGUAUUUUAGGAUCAUCGACAAUGGCUCGCCACGUUGUGCCCUAGUAGCAGCAAAGACGAAAGUGACACCAUUACAACCGCAAUCAAUUCCAAGAAAUGAACUGAGUGCCGGAGUAAUCGGAGUGCGACUGCUUAAAAGUGUUCUGGAGAAUCACUCAAUACCUGUCAAGAAACGGUACAUGUGGACGGAUGCAACGACCGUUCUGGCUUGGUUGAGAGUAGACCCACGAAAUUAUCGGCAAUUUGUAGCUUUUAGAGUUGCCGAAAUUCAGACAGAGACACGCGUGGAGGAGUGGCACUACGUACCAUCGAGUUUGAACGUUGCGGACAAGGGUACAAAGUGGGGAAGUGGACCCUGCUUCGAUCCAGCCAGUCCGUGGUUCACGGGACCUGAAUUCUUGUAUCGCGCAGAAAGUGAGUGGCCACGUCAACCAGCGAAGUUUGCGGAGCCACAGGAAGAAGUCAGAGUGGUCAAUCACCACGCAGCAGUUUGCGAUUUCGUCGUAGACUUCACGAAGUUUUCCAGUUGGGGAGAUCUGCUCAAGAACAUCGGCUACUUGUAUCAUUUCGUUCAUCGUUGUCGAUCAUCACCAAGAGUGAUGACCAAGAGCAGAGUUGCAGUCUUGGAGCAGAAAGAUUAUGCGGCGGCUGAAAGAAGUGUUUGGCGAGUUAUCCAAAGUGUGGAGUAUACCGGUGAAAUCGCAACUCUUCUCAAGAAUUCCGAGCUUCCCAGCGACAAACAGAUGCCGUUGGAGAGAAACAGUCUGCUCAAAAAGCUGUCCCCAUUUUUGGACGACGAAGGUGUGCUGAGGAUGCGUAGCCGUAUUAAUGAUGCUGCCAUCUACUAUUCCUACGACUUUCAAAACCCAGUGAUCGUUCCAAGGAGAAAUCACGUCACCGAACUGCUGAUCUACAAGUAUCAUCAACGCUAUGGACACGCUAACGCCGAUACCGUCGUCAACGAGUUGCGGCAACGCUAUUACAUAGCCAGAGUUCGUUCCGUAGUGAAAAACGUAGUAAAGCAGUGUAUGUGGUGCAAGGUUUAUCGAGCGAAGCCGGCCGAACCAAGAAUGGCGGAUCUACCACAUCCCAGAUUGAAGCCUUACGUUCGUCCGUUCACAUUUACAGGCCUGGACUACUUUGGGCCGUUGAUAGUGAAGCAUCGUCGGAGUAACGAGAAGCGGUGGGUAGCACUAUUUACGUGUUUGACCGUGCGGGCUGUACACGUGGAAGUAGUGCAUUCGCUAUCAGCAGAAGCCUGUAAAAUGGCGAUUCGCCGUUUUAUUUCCCGAAGAGGUGCUCCGCAGAAAAUUUUCAGCGACAAUGGCACUAACUUUCGAGGAGCCGCCCGCGAACUUGUCAAUGAAACAAGAGCCAUCAAUCGGGAGCUUGCGGCUAUAUUCACCAACGAAGAAAUCGAAUGGGUUUUCAACCCUCCAUCCGCUCCCCACAUGGGUGGUGUGUGGGAGCGAAAGGUUCGCUCAAUGAAAGAAGCGUUCAAAUCAUUGCACCACAGACAACAUCUGAACGAUGAGGAGCUUAUGACCUUCUUAGCCGAGGCUGAAAUGAUGGUGAACUCCCAUCCUCUAACAUUUGUACCGUUGGAGGAUUCGACAGAAGAAGCAGUUACCCCGAACAAUUUCCUGUUGAUGAGUUCGAGUGGGGCCAACACGUCAUCGAGGAUACCUGUUGAUGAAGAGGUGCCUCUACGGCUAAAUUGGAAGUUGAUGCAACAGCUGUUAAAUCAAUUUUGGAAACGUUGGAUCCAAGGAUAUCUUCCGACAAUUGCUCGUCGGACCAAGUGGUUCAGCGAUGUCCGCCCACUUCAAGUAGACGACCCGGUAGUCAUCGUAGAUGAAACUGUCCGAAAUGGGUGGUUACGAGGCCGAGUUGUGAAGAUCUACCCGGCAAAGGAUGGUCAAGUGAGGAAAGUCGAUGUCCAGACGUCUUCAGGAGUGUUCCAUAGACCAGCGAUCAAAGUGGCAUUGCUGGAUAUUCUACAGGGUAGUAAGGCCAUUCAAGGGUAAGGCAUUACGGGUCGGGGUGUUACGGAUUGCGUCCGAUAGGCCCUUUGGAACGGAUCUACACUGAAGCGGCGCGUACGAUAGACGACGCGCUGCGGUAAAAUGUCAUCGUUGACACGUCGUUGGCAGAUGACUCAAGGAUGACAUCAGCGAAAUAGAAGAUAAUGAUAAACAACCUUGUGCAAGCGAAGAGCUAAUGGUUAAGCUAAAUUAAUUAAAAUCUAAAUAUUUCGUUCUACCUCUUUUGAAAACGUAGUAAUGCAUUUGUUAUUCUAAGCUUAUGAGACUAAAAGGUUUGUAGUGUUCAAAGUUCGUGUAAUUAAUUGAAUUUCAUGCAAAUAACACUACAACAAAACAUGCCCACAUGUAUGUUAAUCAGUUCUUAAAAUUACAGCCUAAAAUCAGUAUUAUAACUACAAACUAUCUAAAUUCCUUAAUUGUAACCUAAUUAGUACGGAUAUCUUACGUAACCUUCAUAAACGGCAGCAGGAAUUCUUAUUGGAUUUUCAUAUAGUGAGGAAACUAAUUUGUAAGUAGCUUAAAUUUAUCAAUGAAUUCGCUUUGUUUAAUAAACUAUCUUUCCAGUCGAGUUUUGCGGAAAAUCCCGAACUGCGAAACAGUUUUUAUUACACCCACUUCGAAAACACUAUCACCAGCUUAUAAAAAAAGCAAAAAAAAAAUAAUACGAAUGGUACUUUCGGCAACCGUAAUUGCGCAAACCGUUUAGAAUUCGCACAAUUUCUUCACUAAAAUUUUCUUUCUGAUAAAUUUACACUGCCAUUAGCCGAAAUUCGAUAAACUCUUGAGCGAAGGGAAAAAAACACGCCGCGAAAAAUUUUGACGUCCGUAUUCGCGCACGGGUUACUGCGAUCCUUCUCUUCAGCUACUUCUCCAAGGAUUUCUUAAGAAAGGCUUCCGAUGAUUCCUACAAAAAAUUACUCUAAAUAUUCCUACGGUAAUUCCUCCAAGGAAUUCCUCAAGAGAUUUUUUGCAAAAAUUUUCAAAGGUUUCCUCCAGGAAUUUCUGCAAAAAAAUCCAUAAGAAAUUCCUCCAAGUAUUCUUCCGGAUAAUCCUCUAAGGAAUUCUUCAACAAUUCCUCCAUGACUUUUUCCAUGACCUCCUUUUUGAAUUCUUCAAAGAACUUUGCCCCAAGGAUUUGUUGGAAGAUUAGUUCAUAUACAUGUUGAGAUCUCAAGUAAACCACUCUUAUGAACCAUCAUCUCUGAUCAUGGAACUCGAAAACACAUUCCAAUUCACCAAUUAUAUUUCACCGACCAGAUUACGUCACCUUUGAUCUGUCGGAGCUCUCAACUUAAACUACUAAUAUGAAUUCAGUACAGUAUACAGAUCAUUCGUGAUAGGGAUUUCCCGCAAGGUUUAUCUUAAGUUUAAAAUCCAACGUACAUUUCAUCCCUUGAGAAUUUCUUCAGAGAAUCCAAAAGAGAGAUUCUUUAGGACAUUCUUAGCAAAUUACUUCAGCCUAUGCAUCACAAAUUCCUUAAAGGAUUCUCUAUCAGGGAUAAUCCAUCAGAAAUUCUGAAGGAUCUCAGUAAUUAAUUAAGUUCUAGUUUUAAAGUUAAACUUUUCAAUCCAAUUCCAAUUUCUUCGAAAAUUCUUGGUAUGUGGUCACUCAGUCUCUGUUGUGAAUAUCACUACAAUUAACUACAGCUUUUUUCCGCAAAGAUUAUAACUCAUUCUGUUAUGGAAAAUCUUUGAAAUAAAUAACUUAAUCGGUUAUAAUUUUGUUAUGCCUUUCUGAUCGGGAAGAAUCCUUGAAUUUCUUAAGGAAUUCAUCCGGAAAUUCUACAGAUUCAUCUCGUUUUUUUGCCGAAGUUUUCCUUAGUAAACCUGCUAUGGAUUUCCUCAGAAAUAUUCCUUCAGAAAAUCCUCCAACAAUAAUUUGCUCCUGAAAUCCCUCCAAGUACUCCAUUAGAAAAUGUUUCAUAAAUUCAUGGAUAUUUAUUUGAAAUUUCUCUAGAAAUGUAUUCAGAAAUUCCUUAAAUGAUUCCUUUAGAAAAUCCUUCAGUUGUUCCAUCACAAAUUAUUUUGAGAGUUAGCAUUAGCAUUAGCAUUAAGCGAGUCGCACAAAUUCGUAGGUGGUACAGUCCUAGACCGCUGAUGUGAGAUUUUGCCUCCUUCCCGUCCUAACCAAAGUACAAAGAUUUUGGACUAAUCUCUGACUCUUAGAUAAGACUGACGCAAUCCUCCAAUGGUCGAGCAUUGCCCUGGCCACGUCCUUGCGACAGCUGAGGGAUGGUUAGUUUUGAACACCUAUGAAAGAUGUAGAUCUAGGUGUCGCAGGAAUUUGGGUGUUGUUAGUGGAAGCAAAUAUUAUAGAGUUCUUUAAAAUCUUUGGUGGAAGGGUAAUCUCCAAAGGAUACGUUUGGUAAACGUUCAGACGCACAAAGUUUUAUUUGAUUGUAUUGAGGCAGCUGCCUGCAUUAUUCAUCUGGUUUGUUUUACCAUCUUAGUCGCUGCGGGACUGGGUGGCCGAAAAUCUGGAAUAGAAAACGGUAUUAACAUCUUUCAUUGGAUAAGCUACUUGUGAUACGCUUGCAACGGAUAUAUACAUUAUGAUAAUUCCUGCAUCAUUUAAUAAACUUACUUGAAUCCUCUGGAAACAAAAUACUUAUUUUCAGUAAACACUUAAUACACAAACAGAAACACAGAAAAACUACAUCAACAGAAACAGCCUGACUACAUUUGUUAGGAAAAAAUGCAAGAUCAAAAUUUAAUGUGGUAGAUCUUACACCGUAACGCACGAUUCCAAGGUGAUCUACACACGUUACGGGCAAUCACAAAUUAUUUUGAGGGUUUUCCAAAAAUUCCUUCAGAAAUUUCUUUAGCGAUUCCUCCAGAGAUUGUUCGGAUUUUUUUUUCCAAGUAUUCCUUCAGAAAUUCCUUCAGGGAUUCUUUAAAAAAAAUAAGAACUUAGAAAUUACUCUUUUUUUCUUUAUAAAAUCCAUCUGAGAAUUCCUAAAGAAUUGCUUCCACGGAUUCUAGAGUAAAUUUUCUAAAAAUUCCUUCGCAGAUUAUUAAAAAAUAAAUGUUGUAAGGAAUUUCUUCAAAAAUUCCUCCAGAACAUUUUCCGGUGGUUUUUCCUCCGGGAAUUCCGUCCUCAGGAAUUCCUUCACAUAUUCUUCCUACAUUUUUUUCAAGCAAUUCAUUUUAAAUUCAAUUUUAAAGAAUCUCCGAAGGAAUACAUUCAGAAUUUGCAUAAGAAAUUCUUUCCGGGGGAUCAUUCAGAGAACUCCACUAGCAAUUUCUCCAGAAAUUAGAUUAAAGUUUUUCUGGGAAAUCUGAAAUUAGGAAUUGUGAAUCUAUUCAGAAACUUUUCCAAGGUUUCCUUCAUAAAUUUCUCUAGAUAUUUAUUCAUAAAUUUCUAGAGGGAUUAAUUUUGAAAAUCUCUUGAAGAAUUCUACAAAAAUUUCAAAAAUUCUUCCAUAUAAUCCUUUUAUAAUUGCCCACAGGAUUUUUCCAUGAAUUCAACAAAUCCGCCAAGAAUUCAAUAAUUUCUUCAGAAAUUCCUCCAGGUAUUCUUUAAGAAAUUCUUGUAGGAAUUCAUUCGGAAAUUUGUUCCAAGGACUCCUACAGAAAUUCCUCCAUGGCUUCCUUCUGAAAUUUCUCCAGCGAUUUUUUCGAAGUGUUUUUCGGGGAUUUUUUUUUUUGGAAAUUUAUUUCAGAUAUCUUCCCAAGGAUUUGAUUUGGAAACCUUUCUUAGAUUUUUAAGUCAUUCCUCCACGGAUUCUUUCAGUAAUUCCUUUAACUCGCCUAGAAUGCACCACGAUAGCGUUGUGUACGUUCAGCGUGCCUGUCUGGGUCAUAGAGAUCCCAACAUCUUACUAGGGUUAAAAGUUCCUUCCGAAAUUCCUCUAGAGAUUCUUCUAGAAAUUACUCCUAGUACUUUCUUGGGAAAAUCUUCCAUGGAAUGCUCCCGAAGUUUCGGUAUGUAUUUUUCCUCGAAAUCAUUUCAGAAAAUCAUCCACGGACUCGUUCAAAAAGUUUUCCCGGGGAAUCUUCAAGAAAAUCUUACAUGGAUUGCUUCAAAAAUUUUUUCACGAUUUUUUUCAGAAAUUUCUCUAGAGUGUCAGAUUUUUUUCAAAAACUUCUGAAUUUCUUCCAGAAGUUUUAGAAUUUCAGAAAUUUUCAUGGAUCCCUCCUACGAUUCCUUCAGAGAGUCUUCCGGGAAUUCCUCAAGAAAAUUUUCCAGAAUUCGUUCAGAUAUUCUUUAAAGAAAUUCUUCAGUAUGUUGGAUUCUUUCAGAAUUUCUUUCAAAAAUGCUUUCUUCGUCCCUCAGUAAGUAUUCUAGGGAUUCCUUCGGAAAAUCCUCUAGGAAUUCCUUAAUAAACUUCUACAGCGAUUCCUUCAAACACUUUUCCAUGAAUUUCUUCAGAGGAAGAAGGAUUCUUUCGGAAAUUUCUCCAGUGGUUUCUUCAGAAAUUCUUCCAGGGAUUCUUUUCGGAGAAGUUUGUACCUCCAAACCUGUUGUAAAAAUCAAGUCCCAUCACAUGUACUGAUCAUCGAUUUCAAGGCGACUUAUGCAAAUUCUGUCCUAGUUGAAACAAAUCCAUAGAAAAGGAAGAAAAAAAUCCUACAUUGUAGCCUUUUUGUUGCACAUGGAGCAUUGCAUCCGAUCAUCCGAGACAAUUACCUGUCAACGUCGGCGCUGUAAUUGGUCUAAUCAAUCUUAAGCUCAUCAGAUCGCAAUCAGCUUCCUCAGCCUCCCCUCUGCCAAGUCUCAAUCUCAGCGAAAACAUGCCAGCAUCGAUUUUUCUCUCGCAGUUUUUCAAUGUCAACGCCGUCGCCGCCGCCACCGCCACCAUACACACAAUGCAAUAAAGGAAGCACGACAACGCGUGAAAUGUACACCGACACUCAUUGCCAUGCACUACCGAUUGACUCACUGACUUCACCACAGAGCACAGCGAAGACGCGUUGACGAUCAUCUGUCAAUACACUCGAGUUUCGGUUGGCUGCGGAAUUGAUCGAGUUCGACUACGACGAUCACUGCAUCGCGUCGCCGCCACCAUUACAGAGUUGAUUUACGACCCACAUAGGCCCCCCAAUUAGCGCUCAAUUAGUCUUCGGUGCAAAGAGCAUCACCUCCGUGACUUUUUUUUGCGUGACUUCAAUUUGUAGGAAUCUUCCGUCGCGUCGCCGUCGUCCGAAUUACUUUUGAAGUUGAAUUGAUGAAUACAAAAAAGGGUUGCCUCGACUCUUCAGAUUCUAGAAGAACACACGAACCGAUCGAUCGGAAUUGCUCCAAUUUAAUUUCCGCUCUCGUUAAGCCAUGGCGGCGGCACCUUGGCCCGCGUACCAAGUCGACCACACGCGUCGAUGUGUGCCUAAAGGUACCGAUCGACGACAGCGAAUGUCUGUUUGAGCGUGCGCAUAUAAAUGAGCCUUAUGGAAGACGCGACGUUCGAGUUCGGUGGGAUCUCUUCUACGUACCGAAGGUCUCUACCACAGGUACCUUGAACCGUGUCGUGUUACUACCUUUUAUGGGUUCUAUUUGAUUAGGCAGAGCGUCGUCGUCGUCUGUGUCAGUAAGUUACUGUUUUGGAGAAGCAUCUGUUUUUAUUGGCCCACAUGAUUUUGC